AAUGGAAAAAAUGGGAAGAUCUCCCCUUAUAUAAGAGACCGAAUAUAUGUUUAAGGGGCGCUAUGUGUCCCAAUUCUAUUGGUUGAAAUAAUAAAUCAAAAGAGAAAAAAAAACAUUUCCUCCUCGAUUAAUUUCUUUUUCGUGUGAUUCUCUCUCUCUCGGUUGCAAUUUCAUCGACGAGACAAACGAUGAAUUUGGAAUCAGAAGCUUGAAUCAAUUGGAAAUGAUGAAUUUGAUAACAGGAGUCGAUUAAAUCGGUAGACAGAUUGAAUCAAUUGGAAUCAGAAAGGUGGUGAGUUGUUUGAUAGGAUCGUCAAGAGAGGUCAUUACAGUGAGAGAGAAGCUGCUAAGCUUAUCAAGACUAUUGUUCGGGUCGUUGAGGCUUGUCCUCUCUGUUUUCUGCAAACCAGAUGUACUUACUCAGAAUCCUCCACCUUCAAGAUUCUUCCAAGAAGAUCUUAACAGCUGUGUUCAGCCACCCGAAACAUUUCCAUCUCCUUUCAUCAUAUUCUCUAACCAGAAACCUGAACUUCCCCCCUCGUCUCUGUUCAGCUUCCUGUAUCUCCUGAACGGUCAAACCUAGUCUCGAGGUUGCUCAUUGGCCAAGACAUCAUCCCUGAGCGGGUUAUAAUCUUGGUGAAGAAAGCAACAAGUCACUUGGUGAAGUUAGCUUGAUUCUGUCUAUGUUAAUUAUGUAUAUGAAAUGUUUUUUCUACACAUCUUUGAGUUUUGUCUUUGAGUUUGCUUGCAAAAUGAUUUGAUUGAGAAUAUUUGGGCAAAAAUUGGAGCUAAUUAGUAUUAA